rnacentral:rRNA from 1 species
AUUGAACGCUGGCGGCAUGCCUUACACAUGCAAGUCGAACGGCAGCGGGGGAGAAGCUUGCUUUUCCUGCCGGCGAGUGGCGAACGGGUGAGUAAUACAUCGGAACGUGCCCUGUAGUGGGGGAUAACUAGUCGAAAGAUUAGCUAAUACCGCAUACGACCUGAGGGUGAAAGUGGGGGACCGCAAGGCCUCAUGCUAUAGGAGCGGCCGAUGUCUGAUUAGCUAGUUGGUGGGGUAAAGGCCUACCAAGGCGACGAUCAGUAGCUGGUCUAAGAGGACGAUCGGCCACACUGGGACUGAGACACGGCCCAGACUCCUACGGGAGGCAGCAGUGGGGAAUUUUGGACAAUGGGCGAAAGCCUGAUCCAGCAAUGCCGCGUGUGUGAAGAAGGCCUUCGGGUUGUAAAGCACUUUUGUCCGGAAAGAAAUGGCUCUGGUUAAUACCUGGGGUCGAUGACGGUACCGGAAGAAUAAGGACCGGCUAACUACGUGCCAGCCGCCGCGGUAAAAC